rnacentral:rRNA from 1 species
ACGCUCGACACCUACGGGAGCAGCAGUCGGGAAUAUUGCGCAAUGGAGGAAACUCUGACGCAGUGACGCCGCGUGCAGGAAGAAGGUUUUCGGAUUGUAAACUGCUUUAGACAGGGAAGAAAAAAGACAGUACCUGUAGAAUAAGCUCCGGCUAACUACGUGCCACAGCGCGUAUACUGAGCGGCGUGNGAGACG